rnacentral:ribozyme from 1 species
UUUUUUUUUUUUUUUUUUUUUUUUUUUUUUUUUUUUUUUUUUUUUUUUUUUUUUUUUUUCCCGCGGACAAAAAUAGG